UACGUAGGGGGCAAGCGUUGUCCGGAUUUAUUGGGCGUAAAGAGCGUGUAGGCGGCCAAGCAGGUCCGCUGUGAAAACUCGAGGCUCAACCUCGAGACGUCGGUGGAAACCGUUUGGCUAGAGUCCGGAAGAGGAGAGUGGAAUUCCCGGUGUAGUGGUGAAAUGCGUAGAUAUCGGGAGGAACACCCGUGGCGAAGGCGGCCAGCUGGGAUACACCUGACGCUGAGACACGAAGGCGUGGGGAGCGAACGGG
rnacentral:rRNA from 1 species